AGUUAAUGAACUUGAAUAAGUAAAUGUUUUGAAAACAUUAAAUAGAUAAAUUAAUAUCUAUUAACUU
rnacentral:tRNA from 2 species